rnacentral:lncRNA from 1 species
GAGACAAGGCAGGGAGGUGACAGGUCUAGGGAGGCCCUGCUAGGGGAAGAGUCUGGGAAAGGUGGUGACAAGUCCUGGGUAAGUGCUGAGUGGUGAGGGCCACAGAAAGGAGCAGCUCCAGUUGGAUCAACAGGUCAUGGGUGGGACUCAUAGUGACCUCGCCACUAACUCUUGAAAGAGUCCCAAUCAAGUGCUGUCUGCUGGAGUGAGAGCCACUCCCUGGUUCCUGGAGGGCACCCACCAACGGACACAGGACUGGAAGCCCAGGCUGGGAAGUGCAACCCGGGGUGAAGGCCAGGGAGAAGCAGGUGCUCUGCAGUGGCCAGGAAAGGUCCAGACUGGGCGGUGGAAUUGCUUCUGUUACGUGCGGGCGUUCUUCUCUGUCUCUGCCAGGCACUCUCGGACUAGGGCUAGGCAUGGAUGAUGCCUCUCUUCAGGCGCCCCAUGGCGCUCUUGCUGCCAGCAUAGCCCUCAUGUUCCAGAUUGUUCCUUUUCCAGAAACUUGAUUUGAAAGGGAGAAUAAAUUCUUCAAGCAGUAUCCA